CCAGACCUUCAGCUGACGUAAUCGACCUCACAAAGACAAGAUGACAGAUGGGAUGAUGCACGUGGAUCUCGGGGGCAUCACUGAAAGCAACAGAAGACCUGGCUAAUGUCAGUUCGGACAGCCUCCAGCACUGGCAGGAGAUGGCUGGGGGGCUGGGAAGACCACCGGACAAUCGCACGUCUCUGCAGAUAGUUCUGAAGAACACCUUUGCACGUCCCGAGGGGAGACCGGGGACGUGCUGCUGAGCUGGAGCGGCGAGAGUGCUGGUGCACACGCGACCCGCGACCCGAGUCCUUCCGCGGUGCGGAUGGAGGCCUAGCGUGUGACCGAGCAGAGCGGAGGGGACGAGGGCAGAGUGUGGCCUGAGUGGAGAUUAAAUACGUGCCCGGCACUCAAGGGCAUUACACCUCUGUGGCAGGGCCCCUUCAGAGCAGCGUGUGCAGACAGGCACCGCAUCACUGCCGCCAGACGGGCUAGCAGAGCACCCUCUUAGCCUCAAUCAGCAGGAAAUGGGGAGUAAUAAUACACGUGUGAGAAGAAGAGCCUUCAGGAAGUGCCACAGCUUAGAGAGCAGGUCCUGCUCUUCUAAAAUGCCUGAGCCUUUAUGUUGACCGCUUGUGCAAAGUUAAUUUUCUCUAACACGGUCCCUUUUUUCACACUCACAGUUAGGUCUGUCAGUUGUUUUUUAUAGUGUUUUAC
rnacentral:lncRNA from 1 species